UGUGCAAACUCCAUACAGCCGGUCACCAGAGGGUAUGAUUGAAUCCGGGUCCCUGGAGCUGUGAGGCAGCAGUGCUAACCACUGAGCCACCAUGAUAAGAAUAUUAUCUUGAGCUUACAUAAUGACUGAGCUUCUACCAGAACUACAAAGGUUUCCAAUGAAAUUUUCUGGAAAUAUGGCUGAUUUUGGAAAAUCUUGUCUACCAUCAAUAGAAAGCAGAAAAGCAUCAGUUCUGCAACCCUCCUGAUGAUGCCUGCAGAGAUGAAGCAGACUCUGAAACAACUGCCCUUGUGGAUCUCUGUGGAUAAGAAUACCAAGGAACCAGCCCAGCUGUCUCCUUCACUGCCCACCAGCCCAAAUACUGACACCUUGGU